AUCGCUUCUCGGCCUUUUGGCUAAGAUCAAGCGUAGUAUCUGUCCUGGUCAGCUUAAAGUUACAAAGUGGGAUUGUGUGGAGGUACGAAAACUUUAU
rnacentral:snRNA from 1 species